CCUACGGGAGGCAGCAGUGAGGAAUAUUGGUCAAUGGGCGCGAGCCUGAACCAGCCAAGUAGCGUGAAGGAUGACUGCCCUACGGGUUGUAAACUUCUUUUAUAAAGGAAUAAAGUGAGGCACGUGUGCCUUUUUGUAUGUACUUUAUGAAUAAGGAUCGGCUAACUCCGUGCCAGCAGCCGCGGUAAUACGGAGGAUCCGAGCGUUAUCCGGAUUUAUUGGGGUUAAAGGGAGCGUAGAUGGGUUGUUAAGUCCGUUGUGAAAGUUUGCGGCUCAACCGUAAAAUUGCAAUUGAUACUGGCGGUCUUGAGUACAGUUGAGGUAGGCGGAAUUCGUGGUGUAGCGGUGAAAUGCUUAGAUAUCACGAAGAACUCCGAUUGCGAAGGCAGCUUACUAAACUGCCACUGACAUUGAUGCUCGAAAGUGUGGGUAUCAAACAGGAUUAGAUACCCUUGUAGUC
rnacentral:rRNA from 1 species